GUGGGGAAUCUUGCGCAAUGGGCGAAAGCCUGACGCAGCCAUGCCGCGUGAAUGAUGAAGGUCUUAGGAUUGUAAAAUUCUUUCACCGGGGACGAUAAUGACGGUACCCGGAGAAGAAGCCCCGGCUAACUUCGUGCCAGCAGCCGCGGUAAUACGAAGGGGGCUAGCGUUGCUCGGAAUUACUGGGCGUAAAGGGCGCGUAGGCGGACAGCUUAGUCAGAGGUGAAAGCCCAGGGCUCAACCUUGGAAUUGCCUUUGAUACUGGCUGUCUUGAGUUUGGGAGAGGUGAGUGGAACUCCGAGUGUAGAGGUGAAAUUCGUAGAUAUUCGGAAGAACACCAGUGGCGAAGGCGACUCACUGGCCCAAUACUGACGCUGAGGCGCGAAAGCGUGGGGAGCAAACAGGAUUAGAAACCCCUGUAGUCC
rnacentral:rRNA from 1 species